rnacentral:siRNA from 1 species
AGGAGAAGUUGUCCCGGCCGCAA